CUUAGGAGAUACGCCGCAAAAUUCAGGCUGAAGGGUCAGUAUUGUAAUGUAAAUAACUAAAUGUAAUUAUUGGUUAAAUACAUGUUAUAAUUAUUUUACAUUUUUUAAAUAUAGGUGGAGUGCUCUUGUUUGGAAACAGGAGAGUGAUUAAAAACAAAAGAAGAAGCCAUGGGACUAUUUCAAGAGUUUCAUUCAAGUCCCAUCGGUGGACACACUGGUGUACUCAAGACUCGAACUGCAAUGUGUUCCAGAUUUUACUGGUAUGGAAUGUCGGUUGACAUUGGGAAUUGGGUCCUGGCUUGUGACCAGUGUCAAAAAAUGGGAAAGCCAUUGGCUGCUGUGCAACCACUGCAGUGUAUAAAGGUGUCACAUGUCUGGGAGCUAAUUGGAAUAGAUCUAACUGGACCUCUUCCAAAAAGGUCUAGUGACUUCCAGUACAUUAUGACUGCAACAGACUAUUUUUCAAAAUGGGUUGAGGCUUUUCCAUUAAAAAGCAAAAGUGCUGCUGAGGUAGCUCAUCAGUUGUGCUCAAUCAUAUAUAGACGUGGCUGCCCAAAACGAAUUUUAUCCGACCAAGGAAGGGAAUUUGUUAACGAGCUCAACUCAAGACUUUGCAGCUUAAUGAAAAUAGAAAGAAGUGUCACAGCAGCGUAUCACCCUCAGACAAAUGGCCUCGACGAAAAGACAAAUGACAACAUAAAAAGGUAU